rnacentral:lncRNA from 1 species
AAGUUUCGAAGUCACGCUCUUCUUCUUCUUCCCUUCUUUCGCCCUUCUCUUUAUCUUGAAACUAAUCAUUCAAAAGCAUGUAAACUGUGAAAGCAAGAACCAUCUUCCACCAAGUCCAGGUCUACCCACUUUAGGUCAUCUCCAUCUACUCAAAGAACCGGUUCACCGAACCCUACAGAGUCUCACAGAGAGAUUUGGCGAUGUCUUGUUCCUUAAAUUCAGCGUGUGUAGACCGCUCGCGCACCCUUGCAGGGAAGCACCUCAACUGCAACACCACCACCAUGGAAC